CCGGGGGGCGGGGGUGGGGGGAUGAGCGGGGACUCGGGACCGGCCUGGGGGACGCAAAACCCUGGGCAGAAGGGAAAGUUACGUUACCGACGUGCUUCCGUUCCUGUUUCCUCACCUGCCCUCCGGAGGUUGUCAACACCUCUGCUUGCCUUAGUGGCUGGGACAGUGUUGGCCUCCCCAGGUCCUCGAGGGCACGGAGCUCUUCACCCGCUGGUUCUGUGCGGACAAUACGGAGAGAUUCUAAAGGGAUGUUGAGCAUCUUUUCAUGUUCUCACUGACGAUUCAGAAGUCUACUUUGGAAAAAUUCUCCGAGAAGUGGAUGCUCCCAAAUGCUGCUGGACAGGAUGCAGCUGCCAGAAAGCCGGUGGGGAUGUUUCCUUACCUGCUUCUGCUCAAGGGCAGGAGAUCCUCCAGGGCAGAUCCUCUGUCAGCCACAGGAUCUAACCCUAUUGGCUCCAAUCAGAUCCUGGAAAACAGGUCGUCCUCUGCGGGUGGCCUUGCCAAGCAACAGAAGAUAGGCAUAUAUAUACAUGCCAUCCCCGGGACCAUGGCUCAUCUCUGAGAGCAGAAAAUGCACACUGAUCGAGACAGUCUCCUUCUUCUGAACUGUACCUGUGGACUCAAACAGCUCAUGCUGACAAGACUCCCUGCUCACACGGCUCUUCUCGUUCACAUUCACACCCCUACCCCCACCCCCUAACCCCCAACCACCCUGAUGCCAAUGCCAACACCACCCAAACACACAACUUACAUUUUUCCAAUACCAUACUGCAAAGAGUUUGUACUUGUGCCUCCCCCUCUCCGUAGACGUCUCCCAAUAGGUCUGCAGGAUUCUUUUCUGUGAAUCUUUCAAAUCCAUUUUGUGCACUUGGUUUGCUCUGUUCACUGCAUUUUUCACUGCUCUGGAUUUCUUUG